CCUACGGGGGGCAGCAGUGGGGAAUAUUGGACAAUGGGCGAAAGCCUGAUCCAGCCAUGCCGCGUGUGUGAAGAAGGCCUUCGGGUUGUAAAGCACUUUCAGUGGGGAAGAAAGCCUUGGGGCUAAUACCCUCGAGGAAGGACAUCACCAACAGAAGAAGCACCGGCUAACUCCGUGCCAGCAGCCGCGGUAAUACGGAGGGUGCGAGCGUUAAUCGGAAUUACUGGGCGUAAAGCGCGCGUAGGCGGUCUGAUAAGCCGGUUGUGAAAGCCCCGGGCUCAACCUGGGAACGGCAUCCGGAACUGUCAGGCUAGAGUGCAGGAGAGGAAGGUAGAAUUCCCGGUGUAGCAGUGAAAUGCGUAGAGAUCGGGAGGAAUACCAGUGGCGAAGGCGGCCUUCUGGACUGACACUGACGCUGAGGUGCGAAAGCGUGGGUAGCAAACAGGAUUAGAUACCCUAGUAGUC
rnacentral:rRNA from 1 species